GCCAGUGUGCUGUAGUGGUUUGAGUGUUGGACUAGGACUGUAGAGAACAGGGUUCAAAUCCCGGCUCAGCCA